rnacentral:rRNA from 1 species
ACUCCUACGGGAGGCAGCAGUAGGGAAUCUUCCACAAUGGGCGCAAGCCUGAUGGAGCAACACCGCGUGAGUGAAGAAGGGUUUCGGCUCGUAAAGCUCUGUUGUUAAAGAAGAACACGUAUGAGAGUAACUGUUCAUACGUUGACGGUAUUUAACCAGAAAGUCACGGCUAACUACGUGCCAGCAGCCGCGGUAAUACGUAGGUGGCAAGCGUUAUCCGGAUUUAUUGGGCGUAAAGAGAGUGCAGGCGGUUUUCUAAGUCUGAUGUGAAAGCCUUCGGCUUAACCGGAGAAGUGCAUCGGAAACUGGAUAACUUGAGUGCAGAAGAGGGUAGUGGAACUCCAUGUGUAGCGGUGGAAUGCGUAGAUAUAUGGAAGAACACCAGUGGCGAAGGCGGCUACCUGGUCUGCAACUGACGCUGAGACUCGAAAGCAUGGGGUAGCGAACA